AGGGCACCACCAGGAGUGGAGCCUGCGGCUUAAUUUGACUCAACACGGGAAAACUCACCCGGCCCGGACACUGGAAGGAUUGACAGAUUGAGAGCUCUUUCUUGAUUCAGUGGGUGGUGGUGCAUGGCCGUUCUUAGUUGGUGGAGCGAUUUGUCUGGUUAAUUCCGAUAACGAACGAGACUCUAGCCUACUAAAUAGAUCGUUGGCUUACAAACGCCAAUGAGACUUCUUAGAGGGACAGGCGGCGAUUCAGCCGCACGAAACAGAGCAAUAACAGGUCUGUGAUGCCCUUAGAUGUCCGGGGCCGCACGCGCGCUACACUGAAGUGAUCAGCACGCUAACAAGCCCGCUCCGAGAGGAGCGGGUAACCGUUUGAACCCCCUUCAUGAUAGGGAUUGAGCUUUGUAACUAUUGCUCAUGAACGAGGAAUUCCCAGUAGGCGUGAGUCAUUACCUUACGCCGAUUACGUCCCUGCCCUUUGUACACACCGCCCGUCGCUACUACCGAUUGAAUGGCAGA
rnacentral:rRNA from 1 species